UUAGUUUUGUAACUGAAGCAAGUACUAAUAUCUUGUUUAUCACUGUAUAACCAUCAAGUCAUAGCCUCGUAAUCUGUUUUUUUUUUUUUUUUAUUAUGGAAUAUUGUUUUGGUCACUUUUUUGUCAUCAAUAAAAUAGAUUCAAUCAAAAACCAAAUCAAGAACUGUGUCCAUGGGACCAUUGACUCCAGACACGGCGUGCAAAAUUGUUCAUCCUUUUAUUUUGAGUUUAACUGUUUAAGGUACAUGUGUGAUCACGAAAAUGCUGACUAUUUUCUUACAUCUUCUAAUCUCCUCUAGGUAUAUUGCAAAAACAUGUUAUUCAUCUGAUUUACAAAGAAUCUUCGCCAGUGUUUUUAUAUCAUUUAUAAAUUUAUUUUAAGAUAACUUAUAGUUAGCUUAGAUAAUAGCGUUACUAUUUUUGCGAAUCAUAAGUAUGGAAGUUCGACUCCACCAUUUAAUUAUCGAAUGAUAUAUGUUCUAAUUUCAAAAAAGAAGUAUCCCCGUCCAGUAAAACUUGAAGGCACGGUUAUAAUUCAUUUCUUUGUCUAUAUUUCAAUUCUUAUAUAAUUUUAAUGAUAUAUUUUGUAUUAUGUUUUAGCACUUUCGAUAUUAAUAUAUUGAUUUGCCAAAAUAAAUUGAAAAAGACCAAAAAGAAUAUACUCAUUGACAAUAAAAUGAUGAUUGAGAAAGAGAAACAAUAUAUUUGUUCUUUGGGUAUAAUAUUUCCAAAUAUUUUUGAUUUGAAAGAAGAUAGGCUAUAUAACAAACUGGGUUUACCAAUUUUGUCAAUAUAGAUAUCUUGAGGAGAGAAUACUUAUAGCAAAGGCAAAAGGGACUUUAUAUAUGAAAAGGAAGGGUACUAGUUUACCAUUUAUCUUUAAAUAACAACAUAAACUAUAUAGCAAAAAGUUCCUCCAACGGCUACUUAAUACAUAACACAUAUAAUUGAGAAAGUAGGUUGUAAAAGGGACAACCGACCAUGACUUUUUCACGUGUUGGAUUGGCGCUCCUGAAUAGAUCUAAGAACUCAAAACUUUUCAUCUGUUAUAAAUCUUGAACAUUAAUGUUCCUUCUAAGAAACCUUUUAUUGGCCAAGAAAAACCAUAAACUUUCAAUCAAAAUGUUCCAAAGGAGAAGGCCCAUUUUUCAGAGAGUCUCAAAUAUACUAAAAGUCUCAAUCUUGAGAAGACCAAUCAUCCCAAGACUCAAGCUUCCUAUAAAACAAAGAAGAUCAGCCAAGCGGGUCAAGCUCCUUCAACAAUACAACUACAAGUUUCUUCAAGAGUCUCAGUUCUCACCUCUACGCACAUCUGUUAUCUCAUACCGUAGGAAGCGAAACAGCAUAUCUAGGUUGGGUAUUAAACACAUUUUCAGUUUAUUGUUUCUUUCACGGUGCAUCGGUCGGUCUAGUGACGAGCAUAUUGUUGAUACAAUAACACACAAUUGGAUGGAGAUGGAGCCUCUUCAUUGUGUCCACGGAAUUUCUUCUUCAUCAAGGGAUAUUUGGCAAUCCUUCGAUUACUUAAGUGAAGAUGAUUCGAUUGACUUGAAGGCGGAGAGAUUCAUCAAAAAGUUCUACGAUGAGAUGAGGUUGCAAGAGCGGGAAUUUAGUUGUUAAGUGCUAUAGUUUUUUUUUACGUCAGUUUAGUGCUAUAGUGGCUUUUUUGAAUUUUUCAAUUGUUAUUUUUGUGCUAUUUUGAUUUUCCACGUCAUUUCUGUUAUCAAUUUUCUCCGCAUCAUAUUUGAGAUGGUGGCCAAUAUUUAUUUUGAAAUUUUUACAUUCUAAGACACUUUUUGUCUUUCAUAUUACACAAUCAGACACAAUAGUCAUGUGACACACUUUAUCUGUCUGCAAUGUCACAUAUACCCUCUAAACUAACCCAACCAGAGUUUGUCUUUAGCCAUGGGUGUCAUCAAUUUUUUUAAAAAAAAAAAUCAAAAGAGUAUCAACACUCCCUCUUUUCCCCAAAUCACAAAAACUAAUUGAUCUUCAAUUCCUUCCUCUCCGCCUCAUACUCCCCGUCUCGAAUCUUAAGCCGUCAACACUCCCUCUCUUCGCCUACGCCGUGAACCAUGAGGAAACCAAAGUCAAAGAAGAAGGUCUUAGUGGAGGACGAAGAAACGCCACCACAAUACGAAGUCGGAGAUCCAUCUUCACCGGACCUCCGUCUACCUCCUCGACUUUUCGCGACGGACCGGUUCCCCACCAGGCGUCAUAACAUCUAUUCCUCUCCAGAUCUACUCCCUUUUAUUCGCAACGUCCUUCGCGACACGCCGGAAUUUGAAACCAUCCGUAGGUCCUGUUUCGGGAAACUCUUCGACCUCCCUGCUCGUCAAUGCCCUGUGUCGUGUAAGCUGAUCCACGCGUUUCUCACUCGUCAGCUUGUUUGUCUUCCAAAGAACACGCUUUGGUCCGCAUUUGGUGGUUUUCCUUUCCGAUAUGGUCUUGAGGAAUUUGGCACUGUCACGGGCCUCCCUUGUGGUUCAUACCCUGAAAGAUACAAUCCCAAAACCGGUAAAGCUAUUGUCGCCGGCAAAGAUAGAGUAUGGAAGAGACUUUUUGGGAAGAAAAAAUUUGUGACGAUUGCUGAUCUUUGUCGGAUGCUUGAGACCGACAAAGAUAUGGAUGGGUGGAAAAAGAUACGGAUUGCUCUCAUUAUAAUCGUCGACGGAGUUCUCAUCGCUCACAGACAAGAAGCACGCCCCACUCCUCGUUAUGUUAGGAUGGUUGAAAACCUCAAAACAUUUCUUGCUUUCCCAUGGGGUAGAGAGUCUUUCCUCAAGACCAUCUCAUGCAUGAAACCGCCGAGUUUUGUCCCCAAGAAAUGUGAGGAUCCUGUUGCUACACUUGUCAAGACGCUCAAGCAGCGCAGUUUCAGAUUACAAGGCUUCCCACUUUCACUUCAGCUUGUAGCAUUUCGUGCCAUCCCCCUGCUUCUGGAUUAUAUACCGGCUCCAUUAAACAACCUCACCUUGAUGGACUUGGAAGAUGGUACUCUACCACAGCACAAGUCAAUCAAUGCCAUCCACAUCCGACGCGUCGAAUUUGACCCCAAUGUAAGUCUAAAACCUUUGUAUUAAACUAACUCCAAAAUGUAUUUUUUAAUCUAAUCAUUUUACAAAACUAAGAUGCUUUUAAAUUUUCUCAGCUGGUAGUCACUCCUAUUAUACCCAUCGAAAGUGAGCCACAAUCAGGAUGGGGUCUGUUUCCAGACGAUGCGAAGGACGACAAUGUUCUCUACUUGGAAAAACUUAUAGCUGGUCAACAUUCCUUCAACAAACAUAUGUGGCAUGGCGGGGUUACAUCUGAGCCUAUCAUCAAGAAGCCAAAGAUCCAUGUCAAGAAGAAGGCUGCUACUAUUAAGCAAUCUCUAAAAACAAGACAGCCGUCUGCAAAGAAGCAAAGGCGUAUAAGUUCCUACUUUACACGUUCAACCACCCAAAGCUUCACCAACGUUCAACUUACGGAGAUGGUGAUCCAACUUUCAACGCAAGUGAAGCAGCUCAAACGCGAGAUGAAACGUAGGAAGAAGCGAUCUCAUGCAAGGCUAUCAUCUUUCAACAAACUUUUAUCUCGUCGCAAGCAGUCCAACACACCACCCCACACUCCAGAACCAAGUCAUAAUCAGGUGAAUUGCAAAGAACACACUUUUUGCCACAUAAAUAGCUUUGUGUUUUCACCACUAACAAAGAAUUCAUUUUUGGCUGCAGGAUGAUGCCCCAAUGGAGACAGAUGACUUGCCUCAAACGACAUCCCCUAUAAUCAGUCAA